rnacentral:lncRNA from 1 species
GUGCUACUUCCGAUCUUGCGGGGCUGGUGCCCCGAUUGGUUUUGAUCUAAUAAAACCGUCCCUUCCAUCUCUGGUCGGGAUUCUGUUUGCAUGUAUUAGCUCUAGAAUUACCACAGUUAUCCAAGUAAUGGAUUGUACGAUCCAAGGAACCAUAACUUAUUUAAUGAGCCUUUUGCGGUUUCGCCUUAAUGUGGCUUGUACUGAGACUUGCAUGGCUUAAUCUUUGAGACAAGCAUAUGACUAC